AUCUACGGCCACGCUACCCUGAACAAACCUGAUCCCGUCUGAUCUCAGAAGCUAAGCAGGGUCGGGCCUCGUUGGUACUUGGAAGGGAGACCACCUAGGAAGACCAGGGGCUGUAGGUG
rnacentral:rRNA from 1 species